rnacentral:rRNA from 1 species
GUAGGGGGCAAGCGUUGUUCGGAAUUACUGGGCGUAAAGGGCGCGUAGGCGGCACGGCAAGUCAGGAGUGAAAGCCCUGGGCUCAACCCGGGAACUGCUUUUGAAACUGCCGAGCUAGAGUGCGGAAGGGGCAACUGGAAUUCCCAGUGUAGCGGUGAAAUGCGUAGAUAUUGGGAAGAACACCUGAGGCGAAGGCGGGUUGCUGGGCCGACACUGACGCUGAGGCGCGAAAGCCAGGGGAGCGAACGGGAUUAGAUACCCCGGUAGUCCUGGCCCUAAACGAUGGAUACUUGGUGUGUGGGGUUUUCUCAGUCCCCGCGUGCCGGAGCUAACGCGGUAAGUAUCCCGCCUGGGGAGUACGGUCGCAAGGCUGAA